CAUUCCACGUUCUCUGCGCCGCAGUUAACACAUUAAGCACCCCGCCUGGGGAGUACGGUCGCAAGACUAAAACUCAAAGGAAUUGACGGGGGCCCGCACAAGCGGCGGAGCAUGCGGAUUAAUUCGAUGCAACCGAGAGGAACCUUACCAAGGCUUGACAUAUAGAGGAAACGUGCAGAAAUGUACGCCCCGCAAGGUCUCUAUACAGGUGGUGCAUGGUUGUCGUCAGCUCGUGUCGUGAGAUGUUGGGUUAAGUCCCGCAACGAGCGCAACCCUCGUCCUAUGUUGCCAGCACGUAAUGGUGGGAACUCAUGGGAGACUGCCGGGGUCAACUCGGAGGAAGGUGGGGGAUGACGUCAAAUCAUCAUGCCCCUUAUGUCUUGGGCUUCACGCAUGCUACAAUGGCCAGUACAAAGGGCUGCAAUACCGUAAGGUGGAGCGAAUCCCAAAAAGCUGGUCUCAGUUCGGAUUGAGGUCUGCAACUCGAC
rnacentral:rRNA from 1 species